UGGGGAAUAUUGGACAAUGGGGGAAACCCUGAUCCAGCAAUGCCGCGUGAGUGAAGAAGGCCUUAGGGUUGUAAAGCUCUUUCGCCCGCGAAGAUAAUGACGGUAGCGGGAGAAGAAGCCCCGGCUAACUCCGUGCCAGCAGCCGCGGUAAUACGGAGGGGGCUAGCGUUGUUCGGAAUUACUGGGCGUAAAGCGUACGUAGGCGGAUGCGCAAGUUGGGGGUGAAAUCCCGGGGCUUAACCUCGGAAUUGCCCUCAAAACUGCACGUCUUGAGACCGAGAGAANUAAGGGGAAUUCCUAGUGUAGAGGUGAAAUUCGUAGAUAUUAGGAAGAACACCAGUGGCGAAGGCGCCUUACUGGCUCGGUACUGACGCUGAGGUACGAAAGCGUGGGGAGCGAACA
rnacentral:rRNA from 1 species